AUUGAACGCUGGCGGCAGGCUUAACACAUGCAAGUCGAGCGGGGGAAGGUAGCUUGCUACCGGACCUAGCGGCGGACGGGUGAGUAAUGCUUAGGAAUCUGCCUAUUAGUGGGGGACAACAUCUCGAAAGGGAUGCUAAUACCGCAUACGUCCUACGGGAGAAAGCAGGGGAUCCUCGGACCUUGCGCUAAUAGAUGAGCCUAAGUCGGAUUAGCUAGUUGGUGGGGUAAAGGCCUACCAAGGCGACGAUCUGUAGCGGGUCUGAGAGGAUGAUCCGCCACACUGGGACUGAGACACGGCCCAGACUCCUACGGGAGGCAGCAGUGGGGAAUAUUGGACAAUGGGGGGAACCCUGAUCCAGCCAUGCCGCGUGUGUGAAGAAGGCCCUAUGGUUGUAAAGCACUUUAAGCGAGGAGGAGGCUACUUUAGUUAAUACCUAGAGAUAGUGGACGUUACUCGCAGAAUAAGCACCGGCUAACUCUGUGCCAGCAGCCGCCGUAA
rnacentral:rRNA from 1 species